UGGGAUGUGGCCGAACUGGAAAAGGCGGCGGUCCUUGAAACCGUGACAUCUGUAGGUUCAACUCCUACCAUCCCAGCCA
rnacentral:tRNA from 1 species